GCUCCUCUAGCUCAGUGGCAGAGCGUGGGAUUGCAGCCCUACGCAAAUCAUCCUAAGGUCAGUCGUUCGAACCGGCUGGGGAGCU
rnacentral:tRNA from 1 species